ensembl:lncRNA
AGAAGAGAAGCCAUCUGAAUAUCAGUAUGUGUCAGAACUUCAGUAUGAAAGUCUUCCGUCCUUUGGUCUGUUUCAUCUUUCUUGCAGCACUGCAGGAUGCAGGAUACUCUGGUUUUGUCAGUGCAGAAACUCCCAUCUAUACAGAAAUGGAGGGCAAAAGCAUCACAGCUGAAUGCACAUUUUCUUUAACUGGAAGAAGGAGACUCUUCUGUACGGGAAAAUGUGAAGAAGGAAACAUUCUCAUUGAAACAACUGAUGACACAGCGCAGAAUGGCAGAUACAGAAUUAAAUAUAAAGCAGGAUUUUAUCCAGUACAAAAGACAGUUCUGAAUGUGAGCAUCACACAGCUGAGAAGAUCUGACUCUGGAAUGUACAGAUGCUCUUUGGACAGAAUUUUGGGAGUGGAUUCAAACAAAGAAUUUGAGAUUGUUGUCACAGACGCUUCAGUGACCUCAAAACCAAAGUCUACUGUGCAACCUUCGUCAGUUUCAACAUUUUUCUCGUCAGCCUCCAUGACAACAGCAACAGUGACAACAUCAGCAAAGACCCCAACAUCACAGAGUUUAAAUUCCAUUUCAGGAAGCACCACACCUUCACCAGCCUCCUCUUCAACCUCCAAACAGACUCAGACACCUCUUCCAAAUUUAGUUACUGUAGGUACUCUGCCUGUGGUGGCUCUGAUUCUGAUCACUGUCUUAUCAGUGGCUUUGCUGAUUUUCUGCAAGAAGAGGAGGGCCAGUAAAGCUAAAGGGCCUCCUGUGGAAACAGACCCUCCUGACAUUACAACAGCCAGUCAGCUGUAUGAAGAGAUCAGAGAGGGGGACAGAUUGAGCAAUUUACCUCCUGAGGGAGUAUUUUCAAUUUACACCACUGCCAAAUGCCCCCAAGGAAACAGAGUUGAAAGCACAGAUGACUACAGCCUUGUCACCUGUCCUCAGAACAAAAGUGAAGAGAACUUGAGUAAGAUUGCUGCCACCAACGGCGCCCCCUGUGGUCAUGCACAUGUUUUGUACUCUGCGUCUUGUGUACAUUUCAGCACAGCCAACCACACCAAAGAUGCCUCACCUCCUCUGUAUUCUACUGUUGGAAACCAUCAGUAGUAAUGUUAUUAAAGGCUUAUUGCUAUGAUAGUUGUAGUUUGUUCAGACCAACUGGUAAUACAAACUUUCUUCCAUUAAUCAUACCAUUGUGAUUUUUAUGAGUCAGGGAAACAAGCAACUGCUGAAAUAAUGCAUUUUAUGGUGGAUCAACGGGCAUAACUGAUUUGUAGCAACCUGAUCAUAGUCCAUUGAAUAGUCCACCAAUGUAUUUAGCUAGGAGUUUAGAGAAAGUUAGCCUCUAAACUAGCCCCUGUGUUCACAGAUGAAUAUGUAGGGUGACUCGGACAGCUGUCAAGUAUCCUUGAUCAUAUCGAUAACUACUUAGUAGUUCACACAAUGAUGAUUGACUCAAGUUCUGUGCUUAAUAGUGCUCACAAUUAUCAAAUAAUGAUUAUCAAAUAACAAGAAAAACAGUAAAAUUAUAAAUAACAUUUCCAGUGAAGUUUAUAUUAAAGCCUGUUUUCUACAUAAUCUUUGAGAAUUUUUUUGUUCGACAUUUUUUUUCUUGGGCUAUUACUUGAAAUUGCUACUUGUAUACAAAUUCAGUUCAAUUCAUCUUAAUGUCAUCUCCUGCACAUCGUAUGUAAGCUGUUAUUGCAAAGCAAAACAGCCGAUUUCAGUUUGCAAAAUGUAAAUAUGCAGAUUAAGGCACAAUUUAAGUUUUUUGUUUAUGAUGGAACUGCAGUCCUUACAGGCAAUAAAUAAAUAAUAGGCGGGAUUAGUUGUUCUCUAGUGACAGUUUCAGCAGAUGCUGAAUGCAGUGCUGAAAACAAAACAUUAGAAAUAAAUUGAUACUUAAUAUUUGACUCUGUGACUCUUGUAAUCUUUGACUCUUUCUUCACACAUUUGUGGUGUUACAUUCUCUAAUAUGUAUCUUAUAUGAUUUGCUCUGGGUAAACUGCACAGAAUGUACUGAAAAAUGCCAAAGACCACCAAAGAAACUGGACAUAACUUUAAACUACGGCUGCAACAAC